rnacentral:rRNA from 1 species
GACGAACGCUGGCGGCGUGCUUAACACAUGCAAGUCGAACGGUGACGGCAGAGCUUGCUCUGCCUGAUCAGUGGCGAACGGGUGAGUAACACGUGAGUAACCUGCCCCUCACUUCGGGAUAACCUCGGGAAAUCGUGGCUAAUACCGGAUAUGAGACCUGACUGCAUGGUCGGGUCUGGAAAGAUUUAUCGGUGGGGGAUGGACUCGCGGCCUAUCAGCUUGUUGGUGAGGUAACGGCUCACCAAGGCGACGACGGGUAGCCGGCCUGAGAGGGCGACCGGCCAAAAGGGGAAGGGAAGUAGGCCCAGCACUAGACGGGAGGGAGGAGGGGGGAAUUGUGCAAAAGGGGGGAAAGCGUGAGGAAGGCAGCCCGGGGGGGGGGAAAAGACUUUCGGGGUGUAAACCAAUUUAAGGGGGAAAGAAGGAAAGGAGAGGGCACAGGGAGAAGAAGGCCCGGAUAACAAAGU